rnacentral:rRNA from 1 species
GCGCAAGCCUGACGGAGCAACGCCGCGUGAGGGAUGAAGGCCUCUGGGCUGUAAACCUCUUUUCUCAAGGAAGAAGAACUGACGGUACUUGAGGAAUAAGCCACGGCUAAUUCCGUGCCAGCAGCCGCGGUAAUACGGGAGUGGCAAGCGUUAUCCGGAAUUAUUGGGCGUAAAGCGUCCGCAGGCGGUCUUGAAAGUCUGUUGUUAAAGCGUGGAGCUCAACUCCAUUUCAGCAAUGGAAACUAGAAGACUAGAGUGUGGUAGGGGCAGAGGGAAUUCCCGGUGUAGCGGUGAAAUGCGUAGAUAUCGGGAAGAACACCAGUGGCGAAGGCGCUCUGCUGGGCCAUAACUGACGCUCAUGGACGAAAGCCAGGGGAGCGAAAGGGAUUAGAUACCCCUGUAGUCCUGGCCGUAAACGAUGAACACUAGGUGUCGGGGGAAUCGACCCCCUCGGUGUCGUAGCCAACGCGUUAAGUGUUCCGCCUGGGGAGUACGCACGCAAGUGUGAAACUCAAAGGAAUUGACGGGGGCCCGCACAAGCGGUGGAGUAUGUGGUUUAAUUCGAUGCAACGCGAAGAACCUUACCAGGGUUUGACAUCCUGCGAAUCUUUUGGAAACAGAAGAGUGCCUUCGGGAGCGCAGAGACAGGUGGUGCAUGGCUGUCGUCAGCUCGUGUCGUGAGAUGUUGGGUUAAGUCCCGCAACGAGCGCAACCCACGUCUUUAGUUGCCAGCAUUGAGUUGGGCACUCUAGAGAGACCGCCGGUGAUAAACCGGAGGAAGGUGUGGAUGACGUCAAGUCAUCAUGCCCCUUACAUCCUGGGCUACACACGUACUACAAUGCUACGGACAGAGGGCAGCAAACUCGCGAGAGCUAGCAAAUCCCAUAAACCGUGGCUCAGUUCAGAUCGUAGGCUGCAACUCGCCUACGUGAAGGAGGAAUCGCUAGUAAUCGCAGGUCAGCAUACUGCGGUGAAUACGUUCCCGGGCCUUGUACACACCGCCCGUCACACCAUGGAAGUUGGCCAUGCCCGAAGUCGUUACUCCAACCCUUGUGGAGGAGGACGCCGAAAGUGGGGCUGAUGACUGGGGUGAAUC